AUUUAAAUAGCUUAUAAUUAGAGCGUAACACUGAAGAUGUUAAAGAGAUUAAUUAAAUCUUUGAAUA
rnacentral:tRNA from 1 species